rfam:TPA: Bos taurus chromosome 2, whole genome shotgun sequence.
UCCCUGGUGGUCCAGUGGUUAGGACUCAGCACUUGCACUGCAGUGGCCUAGGUUGAAUCCCUGGUUGGGGAA